GUUUGUUUGUUUGUUUGUUUGUUUGUUUGUUUGUUUGUUUGUUUGUUUGUUUGUUUGUUGCUUGCUUGGUUCCUUCCUUGCUUGCUUGCCUGCCUGCCUGCUUGCUUGCUUGCCAACCUCGUUCCAGGGCUUUUCCCUUUUUGUCAUUGGGAAGGCGGGAAAAGGCCCUGGCACCGGCCGGUCUUCUAUGUAUUCUGAUUGGUCAAUGUACAAGUAUAUUAUUAUGCAAAUAAUGCAACCUUGGAUUAAUUUAUUCAAACCUUGGGAUAAAUUAACAUUCCAUGCAAAGAGUGUCCAUUAUUAAUACUUUGUCCGUCUAAGAAAUAUUUUUGGUAAAAACUGUGGCAAAAUGGUUAAAUUAGAUAAGAUUUAUACACAAUUUGUCGAAGGUUAGUGUUAUUUUUUUGUUUUAAACUGUGAGAGAAGAUUAAUUGUGUACUAGAACACACCUCUGAGGCUCUGACCGAGUAUUUAGGGCAAAAUGUGCCUUCAUAUUUGGCCUCGUAUAGCUUUAAUAAUGUUUAUAUUUGUAAAGCUAAAGUCUGGGUUUAUAAACUGAAACAUGACCUUUAGUUUUUGAUAUUCUUCAUAGUCGAGUUUAAAUUGGCCUAAUUUAUAGUUAGUUGCCACUAGAAAUGCGACGAUAUUUUGUUAUAUAUAUGCAACAGUGUUUACAACUUUUGAAUAAUAUGUGAUUUGGUUUUGUUUCAGAUACUAUUACAUGUUGCUUCAUUUUACCAUAAAUUGUGUUAAAAAAGUGAUUUGCUCAUUUGGCUGAUGUUACAGUUUUC